rfam:Brachypodium distachyon strain Bd21 chromosome 5, whole genome shotgun sequence.
CUGCUACUUCCUCCGUCCAACAAAGGAUGUCAACUUUGAUGAAAUUUGAAUGCAUCUAUACACUAAGUCAUGUCUAGAUACAUCCAAAUUUUGACAAACUUGAGACACCUUUUGUUGGACGGAGGGAGUACAUG